rnacentral:lncRNA from 13 species
UUGCUUUUUUUAGAUGGAGUCUCGCUCUUGUUGCCCAGGCUGGAGUGCAGUGGUGCCAUCUCGGCUCAUGCAGCCGCCCCAUCCCGGGUUCAAGAGACCCUGGUGCCUUGGCCUCCGGAGUAGCUGCGAUUGCAGGCGCCCGCCACCGCGCCCGCGAACCUUUGUGUCUUUAGUAGAGACGGGUUCACCGUGUGGGCCAGGCUGGUCUCAGCCCGUGAUGUCAGGUGAUCCACCCGCCUCCGCCUCCCCAAGGGCGGGAUUCAGGCGUGAGCCGCCGCCCGGCCUGCUCCGGAUCUCAGUCCCUCAGUGGAGCCGCUGCCCCAGGGCCUGUCCUGACGGGACAUCCUGCAACUCUGCGACGUCCGCCUUGUCCCGACGGGACAUCCUGCCGCUCUGCCACCUCCGCCUUGUCCCGACGGGACAUCCCGCCGCUCUGCGACGUCCGCCUUCCAAUCCCUCCUCUCACCGCGGACCUGCAAAGGCACGUGAGGACCCACGAGCCGCCCGUGGUCAGGCCCAGGACAGCCCUCCCGCUUGGGGGUCCUGCUCGGUCCCGGCGACAGGCGGAGGGUGCACAGUGACAGUCACGGAAGCGGAUGCCACCACAGUGGAGAUGGAGGACGCUGCGGGCCUCAGGCGGCUCGGCCGGGCCGGGGUCGAUAGACCUGCUGCUGCUGCAGCCACCGGGUCAGACCCCGCGCCCUCCACCGCCACACUGCCCGGCCCCGAGGUCUCUGAGGGAGGCCGAGAGCCAGCACCCAGUGAGCCCGUCCGUGCUCGCUGCGGCCCCAGCUUUCCCUACCUGCUCCUGCCCGGCGCCGAGACCCCGCAGCUCAGACAGAGCCAGCAAAUCCUCGCGGUCCCGCCAGCGCUGCGGGCUCCCUCCACCCCUCCCGGGUCUACGGCACCCACAGAGCCGCCACGGGGUGCAAUGGGCCUGGCGGGUUCCAGAGCCGCUGUUGCUCCUGGGUGGCUCCCAGCGGCGGCGGCUCCCUCAGGCGGCGGCUCCCAGCGGCGGUGGCUCCCCCAGGCGGCGGCUCCCCCAGGCGGCGGCUCUCAGCGGCGGUGGCUCCCCCAGGCGGCGGCUCCCUCAGGCGGUGGCUCUCAGAGCUGCGGUUCGCCCGCCGGGCUGGGCUGCCGGGUCGCGGGGCUGUGCGGCCUGCCCUCCGCUCUCCUGGCUCCUCCGCAACCCACGCACCCAUCCCGCCCCAGCGGCGCUGCUCUGGCUGCCGGCCCCCAGGACCCUGCUCUGAGUGUGCCCCGGGCAGCAGCUGCACCGGCUCCGGACUGAGUAGCUGAGAUGGAAGAAGAUAAAAAGAACUCUCUUCAAGUGGAGAAGGAAGGAGAAGGAGGGGAGGUGGAGACAGCAAGCGAAACAGAAAAAGGCGAUACUGCUUUUAAUAGAAUUCUCUAAAAUUUCAGGAUGUUUAUUGUUCUACUCUCAUUAAAAUGAUAAAUGCAUCUAAAAGAAAACAACCAUGAAACGCAGCAAAUAACACCGGCGGUCAUUGGAACACACGGUGAAGUGUUUUCUAACCUGAGGAAAGUAGUAAAAUUUCAACAACGAGUGAACAGGCACUGCGGGCCCAUUUCGUUAUUUGAUUAUUGUGAGUUCGUGUGUGUCUUUCCUUGAGAUGAUGCGCAGGCGAGUGUCAGCAGAGGAGACAGCACAGGCGCCUCAGAUGCC